GACGAACGCUGGCGGCGUGCUUAACACAUGCAAGUCGAACGGAAAGGCCCUGCUUUUGUGGGGUGCUCGAAUGGCGAACGGGUGAGUAACACGUGAGUAACCUGCCCUUGACUGUGGGAUAACUUCAGGAAACUGGGGCUACUAACGGAUAGGAGCUCCUGCUGAACGGUGGGGGUUGGAAAGUUUCGGCGGUUGGGGAUGGACUCGCGGCUUAUCAGCUUGUUGGUGGGGUAGUGUCUUACCAAGGCUUUGACGGGCAGCCGGCCUGGGAGGGUGACCGGCCACAUUGGGACUGAGAGACGCCCCAGACUCCUACGGGAGGCAGCGGUGGGGAAUAUUGCACAGUGGGCGGAAGCCUGAUGCAGCAACGCCGCGGGCGGGAUGACGGCCUUCGGGGUGUAAACCGCUUUCGCCUGUGACGAAGCGUGAGUGACGGUAAUGGGUAAAGAAGCACCGGCUAACUACGUG
rnacentral:rRNA from 1 species